AGGACGACAAAGAAGUGCGAUCGGCGCGUUCUCGUCAUCGAAUUCGCUCACGAAACCAUAGAUCAGCCGGGUAGAAAUUUCGAGCCACGGAGAGAACUACGACGAGAUUUGUCAGCGGGUCGACGGACUUCUACAGCAUGCCACCCAGCGACGUUCGCUCCAUUACUGAACCCCGGGAAAGCCACCAGACCAGCGGCCUGUCCAGUCUCGUCCGAGCGCGCAGCUCCCAUCGCUGUGGAGCCACGGACUUCAGCAGGGUCAGCAAGGUCAAUUUCAGGCGUUCAAGAGCAAAGGCCCUCCCCCUCGUCAUGCGGUUCACGUUCGCGCGUACUGUUCACCUGGGCAACUCUUCCACGAACGCUGCCUUGGACACCACACACGUUACCACAGGGGGACACACGUGGCAGAACACGACAGCAGUCAGCGUGACUGUCCACAACGAAGGCUGCCGUGGAACUACAUUCCCCAAGGUCUCUGUCCACCGAGAAGGGGGCAUCACAGACGAGUUGAGCCCCACCGGAGUGAACGUUCGCUCGGACGAUUCAAGUGGACUAUGUGGGCAUGGGCUCUGAUCGUCACCAAAAUUUUCGUAUAUUUGGUUGCUUUUUUUGUUUAAAACAUAUUCGCUUGUAGUUUUAUGAACUGAUUCACAGACCUGUUUCUGUCGCAGGUCUUGAAUCAGUUUCUGUCGUAGGUCUUGCAAUAAAUAUUAGAUUCGUCGAA